ACCAAACUCCAAUAAAUGUGGGACCAAAAGUGAUUUUAAAAGAACCUCAAUCGAUGUUUGGUCCAGACUGGAAGCUUCCGAUACGGAACCCAUUUACGUUAUAGCAUUACAAACCGGAACUAUUUACCCAUACAUAAAAGAAGCAUAAACAUUUUCUACAAAAGACUACUAUGAAAAUAAACUCUUUAGUAGUUUGUAAACUGAUAAACAAAAAAGCAUAUUUUUUAAAAAUUUGACGCUUUUAACAAUGGAUUAGAAGUAUUUAGUUUCAGUUUCAUACAAUUUGCUUCUUUUGUUUUGUCGAAGGUACCAAGUAAAAUUGGCCCUUUUUCAAAAAAAAAAAAAAAAAAAGUAAAAUUGACUAAAAUUACAGAAUUGCCAGGGCAACAAAAAAAUGUAUUGACUAUAUACACCAGACGAUCAAACCCAAAUAAUUAGACUAAGCGUAUAUUUUCUUCUAAUUUAAUCAUUAAUUUACUCUAAUAAGAUCUUGCUUUAAAUGUUUCAAAAAAAAAAAAGAUCUUGCUUUAAAUCAACUAAGAAAGGUCCAUGUUUAAAUCAGUAUCAAAUCAAAUAUCUUGCAUUUUAUUUAUUUAUUUUGUCAGGUAAACAAAUAAAGUAAUCACACAAUGGCUCAUUGCCAGCGUGGCUAAUUUAGACAUUUUAGUGUUAAAAUAAUUUGGCACGACUAGAGACUUAAAACAUGAUUAUUGGAGGUUUUUAGAAUGAGUUCUUAGCGGAAUAUAAGAACCCGUCUCUUAACUUUUAACUAAGAAAAACUAAGAAUCAGCUCUUAAAUAAGAGACAGGCUCUUAAAUAAUAAAAUUGACUAAAAUUACAGAAUUGCCAGGGCAACAAAAAAAUGUAUUGACUAUAUACACCAGACGAUCAAACCCAAAUAAUUAGACUAAGUGUAUAUUUUCUUCUAAUUUAAUCAUUAAUUUACUCUAAUAAGAUCUUGCUUUAAAUGUUUCAAAAAAAAAAAGAUCUUGCUUUAAAUCAACUAAGAAAGGUCCAUGUUUAAAUCAGUAUCAAAUCAAAUAUCUUGCAUUUUAUUUAUUUAUUUUGUCAGGUAAACAAAUAAAGUAAUCACACAAUGGCUCAUUGCCAGCGUGGCUAAUUUAGACAUUUUAGUGUUAAAAUAAUUUGGCACGACUAGAGACUUAAAACAUGAUUAUUGGAGGUUUUUAGAAUGAGUUCUUAGCGGAAUAUAAGAACCCGUCUCUUAACUUUUAACUAAGAAAAACUAAGAAUCAGCUCUUAAAUAAGAGACAGGU